CGUAGGGGGCGAGCGUUAUCCGGAUUUAUUGGGCGUAAAGGGUGUGUAGGCGGUUUGUUAAGUCUAAAAUCAAAGCCCGAGGCUUAACCUCGGUUCGUUUUAGAAACUGGCAAACUAGAGUGCAGUAGAGGCAAGUGGAAUUUCUAGUGUAGCGGUUAAAUGCGUAGAUAUUAGAAGGAACACCAGUGGCGAAGGCGGCUUGCUGGGCUGUAACUGACGCUGAGACACGAAAGCGUGGGGAGCAAA
rnacentral:rRNA from 1 species